rnacentral:rRNA from 1 species
UACGUAGGUGGCAAGCGUUGUCCGGAUUUAUUGGGUUUAAAGGGUGCGUAGGCGGCCUUGUAAGUCAGUGGUGAAAUACUCUAGCUUAACUAGAGGGGUGCCAAUGAUACUGCAGGGCUUGAGUACAGAUGAGGUAGGCGGAAUUGACGGUGUAGCGGUGAAAUGCAUAGAUAUCGUCAAGAACACCUAUAGCGAAGGCAGCUUACUGGGCUGUAACUGACGCUGAGGCACGAAAAGUGUGGGGGAUCAAACAGG